rnacentral:sRNA from 4 species
AUGUACCAUUCGUACACUGCGGUUCUGAGCGCGCCGUCCGCGCCCACCUGACGACCCGCUCGCUACGUCUUGGUAGCC